UGGCGAGGAGAAAAAACCCGUUCCCAUCCCGAACACGGCCGUUAAGCUCCUCUGCGCCGAUGGUACUUUGUCUCAAGGCACGGGAGAGUAGGUCACUGCCA
rnacentral:rRNA from 1 species